rnacentral:ribozyme from 1 species
UAUAGACAUGAAAAAGAAAGGUAUGAAUCUAAACUCAACUGUUGCAUGAGUCAUAAGAGUUUUUUUUUUGUUUUUUUUUUUGUUUUUUUUUUUUUUGUACUGAAUAAUUACUGUGAUUUGU